rnacentral:rRNA from 1 species
GCGUGCCUAACACAUGCAAGUCGAACGAGAAAGCUCCUUCGGGAGUUAGUAGAGUGGCGCACGGGUGAGUAACACGUGGAUAAUCUGCCUGAUAAUCUGGGAUAACAUUUCGAAAGGGAUGCUAAUACCGGAUAAGCCCACAGCCUCUUCGGAGGCAGCGGGAAAAGAUGGCCUCUUCUUGAAAGCUAUUGUUAUCAGAUGAGUCCGCGGUCCAUUAGCUAGUUGGUAGGGUAAUGGCCUACCAAGGCAACGAUGGAUAGCUGGUUUGAGAGAAUGAUCAGCCACACUGGAACUGAGACACGGUCCAGACUCCUACGGGAGGCAGCAGUGGGGAAUUUUGCGCAAUGGGGGAAACCCUGACGCAGCAACGCCGCGUGAGUGAUGAAGGUUUUCGGAUCGUAAAGCUCUGUCAAGAGGGAAGAAACCUCCAAUGGUUAAUAUCUGUUGGAAUUGACGGUACCUCUAGAGGAAGCACCGGCUAACUCCGUGCCAGCAGCCGCGGUAAUACGGAGGGUGCAAGCGUUGUUCGGAAUUAUUGGGCGUAAAGCGCGUGUAGGCGGUUUGUUAAGUCUGAUGUGAAAGCCCCGGGCUCAACCUGGGAAGUGCAUUGGAAACUGGCAAACUUGAGUACGGGAGAGGGAAGUGGAAUUUCGAGUGUAGGGGUGAAAUCCGUAGAUAUUCGAAGGAACACCAGUGGCGAAGGCGGCUUCCUGGACCGAUACUGACGCUGAGACGCGAAAGCGUGGGGAGCAAACAGGAUUAGAUACCCUGGUAGUCCACGCCGUAAACGAUGGGUACU